UCUCCCGCACGAACUAUGGUUAGCAGCGGAAGUUACGGCCAGGGCACUCCCGCACUGCCCUAGACCUUCGACCGUCAUCCGUCCUGCUCCUCCUCCCCCUCCCCCUCCCAACACUGCCCCGCCUCCGCGUCAUGCUCCACCCGAUGCGCCGCCACAGCGCCACCCAAAGCCGGGUCUCGCCUUCCCGUCCACCCGCACAUCUCCUCCCUCGGGUCCUGCGAGUUUCGGCGGCGGCCACGACGAACUGCCACAGGUGCGGCUAAUCCGAGCUCUGGUCCAGGCAGGUCGACCGGGUCUCGAUGGUGGCGCGGGCCAGCCCGGCGGCGACAGACGAGACCAAUCUCCUGUCGCGGACGAGAAAAACAACUCCCUCACGCGGACGAGAAAACAACUUCCCCAAACCACCUGACCCUCGGCCGCCGCUCGCCUCACGGAUGUUUUCGACGCCGCCGCGGCUCCUCCUCGCUCGCCGUCGCCUCCAGCCCUCUACCCCUCGCCGUCGCCUUCGCCCCAUGCCCGCCAUGGUGGCCACCUCAAGCCGCCGGACUCUCAUGCGCGGGUCUCCGCCCGCCGCUCGGCCAUCAGCCCACGUCUAGCCGCCCCUGUCUCCCUUCCUAAUGUGGCGAAAUCAAAGAUCUGCGACAACAACUCGAACAUGAACUGCCUGCACCUACGCACACAUCAGGAAUCGAGCACAGCACAUGAGCGUUCCUGCAGUUUUCCUUCAGCUAGAUCUUCUAGCAGUUCAGAAUAGUAAUAUGAUCUUGUUACUGUUGGUGGACACUGAAUGGAUGCGAUGCAAUCUCUCUUGCGGUGUGGGGAUAUCUAUGCUCCUGCUUCUUCUGAAUUUAUUCUCAAGCUGAAGGUUCGUCCUUUCUUUUUUCCAUUUCCAGUUCAAGGAGGCUGCCCAACAACUGUUUGUAUCAAUGCUUGAAUGAAAAGGCUUUAUGCUCCUUUUUGUCUUUCCAUUUAAAUCUCUGUAUCUAUAUCCCAUGGAGUAUUAACCCAUCAUAAGCAAUUUAGUAUGGUAAUACAUUAUGGAAUAUCAUUGGCUUCCUACGCAGUUCAGUUUUUUCAUAAAGAUACAUACUGAAACCACAAGUUUGUUUAUUAGGAUGAAUUCUUAUAUCUAAUUUACUACUUUUUUAUGAUGCAUGGAUGAUGUGCUCAGGUAUUUGAAGAUCAUGAGGAUCAUAUGAUUACAUGUAGGGGACUGAGCGAAGAGAGGAUUACUGAUCGGAGCUUCCUGUAAUUUGGCAAGGGCAGAGAUGGUUGUACAGUCUGCUAUCAUGUCGGUGAGACCAUUCAUAAUAAGUAAGAAUUUCUUUUGUUAUACUAAUUAUUUUUUAUCUUGCAUAUUGUUAUUUAGGUUUUGCUCUGUUUUCCAAAAUUUCAGAACAUAAAUCAUUUUUCUCGAACAGUUAGGGAUAACAUUUGUCAUGUUGUUGAAGCUCAUGCUGAGGUACCUACAAAAAAAGAUGUUGGCUACCAAAUCUUCAGGAUAAGUAAACCGUCCUCACGAUUUGUUUUGAUACCCUUCAAGUUUUUGAGAAAUGGCCAUCUCAGGGAGGCAGUUAUUUGUGUUGGAGGAAUGAGAUGGGGAAAUGUAGAAUGGAAGGUGAUUUCUACCGGAGGAGCAAGAGGCGAUCUGGCUAACAGGUUGUAUAUUUGGGGGAUCUUCGAGAUAAGAGUAAUUUCAAAUAUGGCUAUUCUUGGCACUGUUAUCUCUUACUUGAAUGUCCUUGCCAUUCCCAUGCUGGUGCAUACGUCAAUGUUGUAGUGUGAUGAUAUCAGGUAUUGCGCUAUUAUUGGUUAUGAACUAUUACACCUGUUAUUAAAUAGAUGUCAUAUUAAUA